AACAUCAAUAAAAGUGUGGUACAUUACUCUUCUUUAUGGAUUAAAUGUGUUUGUUGAGAGCCACAGCCUGAGGGGCCCCAGCAAACUUCCAGCUGCCAGCAAACUUCCAGCUGCCGGCUGAUGAUUGGCUCACAGCGGCCCCAGCAACAUCUAGCUGAUUGGCUCCUCGGCCCCAGCAACAUCUAGCUGAUUGGCUCCUCUGCGGUGAUGCUCAUUGGACUGUUUCCCUGCCCUUUCAGACCACGGAGCUGCUCAUUGGGGGA
rnacentral:lncRNA from 1 species